CCUCCUGGACCGGGUGGAGAGAAGUAAACAACACAGACAAUUGAGAAAACUGAUCCUCUUGAUCUUAUCCAAAUAUUCUCUCUGUCUUCUCCACAUACUCUCUUCCCUGCUCUCUCCACAUAUUUGCCCCCUCUGACUUAAGCAUCGGAGGGCCGGCGCCGGGGAGCCCGGCCACCGAUUUUCUUACAGGACUUACGCCCCCCAGGAGGACGCCACCCGCCGGCACGCCAUCGAC
rnacentral:lncRNA from 1 species